AGGUUUUUCACAUCGGCUCAGCCUCGACGACGCCUCGCCGCGUGCGGAUGAAGGUCUUCUGGUUUUAACCUCCUUUUGCCGGGCGAAAACCCUCCCUCUGUAGGAGCUUGACGGUCCCGUAAGAUUAAGGAUCGCCCAACUCUAUGCCUGCCCCCGCGGUAAUAGAUAAA
rnacentral:rRNA from 1 species